UCCAUCCCUGCACUGGGGCGUCUGCUAACAGAAUAGAGUGUCAGCUCCUGGACCAAGCACACAGCUCCAGACAACAAAUCACCCCAGGAGCCGCGACCACAGCCCCGUCACCUGCAGCAUGGCAUUGUGGGAGAUAUACUGUCAUCAGACAGUCACCUGUGAUAAGCGGUGCCCGGUGUCAUCAGACCGUCACCUCCUAUAAUAAGCGGCGCCCGGUGUCAUCAGACCGUCACCUCCCAUGAUAAGCGGCGCCCAGUGUCAUCAGACCGUCACCUCCUAUGAUAAGCGUCGCCCGGUGUCAUCAGACCGUCAUCUCCUGUGAUAAGCGGCGCCCGGUGUCAUCAGACCGUCACCUCCAGUAAUAAGCGGCGCCCGGUGUCAUCAGACCAUCACCUCCUAUAAUAAGCGGCACAAGGUGUCAUCAGACCGUCACCU